UACGAAGGGGGCUAGCGUUGCUCGGAAUCACUGGGCGUAAAGCGCACGUAGGCGGAUUUCUAAGUCAGGGGUGAAAUCCUGGAGCUCAACUCCAGAACUGCCUUUGAUACUGGGAAUCUCGAGUCCGGGAGAGGUGAGUGGAACUGCGAGUGUAGAGGUGAAAUUCGUAGAUAUUCGCAAGAACACCAGUGGCGAAGGCGGCUCACUGGCGCGGUACUGACGCUGAGGUGCGAAAGCGUGGGGAGCAAACAGG
rnacentral:rRNA from 1 species